UAAUACGUAUGGUGCGAACGUUAUUCGGAAUUACUGGGCAUAAAGGGCGCGUAGGCGGUUUGGUAAGUCUGCAUGUGAAAUCCCUCGCCUCAACCGAGGAACUGCAUCGGAUACUGCCAGACUAGAGUGCAGGAGGGGAGAGCGGAAUUCCUGGUGGAGCGGUGAAAUGCGUAGAUAUCAGGAGGAACGCCAGUGGCGAAAGCGGCUCUCUGGUCUGCAACUGACGCUGAGGCGCGAAAGCUAGGGGAGCGAACGGGAUUAGAUACCCCGGUAGUCCUAGCCCUAAACGAUGGGCACUAGGUAGAGGAGGUUUUAGAGCUUUCUCUGCUGUAGCUAAUGUAUUAAGUGCCCCGCCUGGGGAGUAUGGUCGCAAGGCUA
rnacentral:rRNA from 1 species